CGCCAUCGCGGGCAAGCCUCGCUCCUACUGGAACGCGGAUUGCUUCUGUAGGAGCGAGGCUUGCCCGCGAUAAUC
rnacentral:misc_RNA from 1 species